GACGAACGCUGGCGGCGUGCCUAAUACAUGCAAGUAGAACGCUGAAGGAGGAGCUUGCUCUUCUGGAUGAGCUGCGAACGGGUGAGUAACGCGUAGGUAACCUGCCUGGUAGCGGGGGAUAACUAUUGGAAACGAUAGCUAAUACCGCAUAACAGUAGAUGUUGCAUGACAUUUACUUAAAAGGUGCAAUUGCAUCACUACCAGAUGGACCUGCGUUGUAUUAGCUAGUUGGUGGGGUAACGGCUCACCAAGGCGACGAUACAUAGCCGACCUGAGAGGGUGAUCGGCCACACUGGGACUGAGACACGGCCCAGACUCCUACGGGAGGCAGCAGUAGGGAAUCUUCGGCAAUGGACGGAAGUCUGACCGAGCAACGCCGCGUGAGUGAAGAAGGUUUUCGGAUCGUAAAGCUCGGUUGUAAGAGAAGAACGAGUGUGAGAGUGGAAAGUUCACACUGUGACGGUAUCUUACCAGAAAGGGACGGCUAACUACGUG
rnacentral:rRNA from 1 species